GACGAACGCUGGCGGCGUGCCUAAUACAUGCAAGUCGAACGAGAGCGACCGGUGCUUGCACUGGUCAAUCUAGUGGCGAACGGGUGAGUAACACGUGGGUAACCUGCCCAUCAGAGGGGGAUAACAUUCGGAAACGGAUGCUAAAACCGCAUAGGUCUUCGAACCGCAUGGUUUGAAGAGGAAAAGAGGCGCAAGCUUCUGCUGAUGGAUGGACCCGCGGUGCAUUAGCUAGUUGGUGAGGUAACGGCUCACCAAGGCCGUGAUGCAUAGCCGACCUGAGAGGGUGAUCGGCCACAUUGGGACUGAGACACGGCCCAAACUCCUACGGGAGGCAGCAGUAGGGAAUCUUCCGCAAUGGACGCAAGUCUGACGGAGCAACGCCGCGUGAGUGAAGAAGGUUUUCGGAUCGUAAAACUCUGUUGUUAGAGAAGAACAAGUGCUAGAGUA
rnacentral:rRNA from 1 species